UGAGGAACAUGACUUUCGGUGGGGGAGUAGCCGGCCCAACGGCCGGGUAAUACCGCGUACGACCACAUGGGGACAUCCCUGAGUGGUGAAAGCAGCAAUGCGCCGAUGGAGUGCCUCGCGGCCUAUCAGCUAGUUGGUGAGGUAACGGCCUACCAAGGCGACGAUCCGUAGCUGGUCUGAGAGGACGAUCAGCCACACUGGGACUGAGACACGACCCAGACCUNUACCGGGGAGG
rnacentral:rRNA from 1 species